CAAGGUUCCCGUAGGUGACCCUGUGGAAGGAUCAUUAUAGAAUGAAUUUGGUGUGGUUGUUGCUGGCCUUCUUGGAGGCAUGUGCACACCUACCAUCCUCAUCUCUCCACCUGUGCACCUCUUGUAGAUUUGGAAUUGAUUAUCCGAGGCAACUCGGUCGUGAGGACUGCUAGCAUUUAGCUGGCUUUCUUUGCAAUUCCAGGUCUAUGUUUUUCAUAUACCCCAUUGUAUGUAACAGAAUGUAUCAUUGGGCCUUGUGCCUAUAAACCUUAUACAACUUUCAGCAACGGAUCUCUUGGCUCUCGCAUCGAUGAAGAACGCAGCGAAAUGCGAUAAGUAAUGUGAAUUGCAGAAUUCAGUGAAUCAUCGAAUCUUUGAACGCACCUUGCGCUCCUUGGUAUUCCGAGGAGCAUGCCUGUUUGAGUGUCAUUAAAUUCUCAACCAUUAUCAACUUUUUCUGAUAAUGGCUUGGAUGUGGGGGUUAUUUUGCUGGCUUCUCAGAUAGUCAGCUCCCCUUAAAUGCAUUAAUCAGUGCCCCGCCAUGACAGUCUGCGGAUGUGCAUAUCAAUAAGCGGAGGAGCAUAUCAAUAAGCGGAGGAGCAUAUCAAUAAGCGGAUGAGCAUAUCAAUAAGCGGA
rnacentral:rRNA from 1 species